rnacentral:lncRNA from 1 species
GACACCAUCUUUAUUGUGUUUUGUAAUUCCAAUCAUUCCCACUAAGUGUUGUGCUCCAGGGUGUAGAACGGCCUAUGACAACGAGCCACAACCGUCUGGUGUUACGAUCUAUCUGUGGCCAAACUAAGAGAGAAACCACGGACUUGAUACCGCCUAGCUGAGAGCCAUUCCAAGAGAAAUGGAUCUGAAGAAGAUAGAUUAGGCACCAUCCAAAAGUACGAAGCUGUGUCCCUGAAUUUCAACGACUCUGAUUUCAUCUGUGAGUCUAAAAGAAGUCAGACCCUUGGUAAGGCUCUAAAAAAGAGGUACCUCAAACCUGAUGUAGUACCAUCCCUAUGGCCAAACUGUCCCAACUACCUCUCAACUCCUAAAGCGUCAUCAAGGCCAACUCAAGCUGCGACCUUGUCACAUAGGGCUCAACAUUUUAAUGAACUACAACAGCAUGCUGUGUUUCACGAAUUAUCAAUUGGAGCACUUGAGUACUACUCUAAAGAAGACAACAGACCGGAGUUUAAAGACACCUGGAGUUGGCUACGAAAAGAGAAAUGAGCUUUGGGAACCAAUCUCUGAGAAGAACAAACGUGACCUCUCUUUCUUGAGAGAUUUUGUCGACUUUCUCGUCGAGUGGCAAAACUGUAAAGCACCUGGCCUCACAGCAGAAACCUUCAUAGCAACAAAACAGACGUGCCUUCCCACAGCAGAUCUGCCAGAGUAUCUUCUCCUAGAUGAAAAAUUAUCCUAUGUACUCCUCGGCAUGUUCCAGUCUGAUCCCAUCGAAAGAAGGUUCGGCUGGUACAGACAACUAAGUGGAGGUAUCUACUACAUCAGCGUGAGAUAGAUCCCUGAAGAAGAGAAAAAGAUUCGUAUUCUGAGUUUGUCAAAUUCUCAGGUAUGUCUACUUCAGAAAUUAAAGCUCUGCUGGACGAAGACCCGGUUAAAACUAAGCUCAUUUUGACUAACUGGCGACCAGAUGAAUUCCAGGAACUAGCUUCCAAGGGAGGGAGCAAUGCUCUCUACUUUGUUGACGGGUAUAUUGGUUUUUCUUUGAAGAAAAAGAUCAUGUAGAUCAUGCCAAGAGUUAAGGGUCACAUCAGAGACACCCCUCCCGACUCUAUGACCUUCGAUAGCCCAACCAAUCUGCAUGUACACCUAAAAGAAUUCAUAGACAUAAUGAGCAGAGGGGGGUUCUCGACUCCAUCCGACCUUAUCUACCUCUCCUGUCUUUAUGAUUACUCCAUGUUCUCUUACAUCACAGCUACUCCUGAAGAGAAGGACAGUUUACUUGGCACCCCAAAUCCUAGAGCU